ACCUGAUCACGAUCCUUUGAGUUGCACAAUGUUCUAACAAUCUACACCAAGCAUUUUCGAUAAUAUAAUGUCCUAUUCUAUACUGUGCCUCUCCAACUUCAAUCGCCAAGCUUUGUGCCAAUGCGAAAGGCCUACCUAGGCGACGGCUUCCCUGCAGUGACUCAUGGUCUUGCGGACAGAAACAUCCAAGUUGUUGAGCAUCGGGAGAUCUUGAACCGGCGAUUCGGGUAUCCUGUGGUCAUUUUUGUAAUCUAAAUGUGAUUUCGAUUAACACCGCCAGUUACUGAUUCAAGUAUUAGUUGUUACUUGGGGGUUGUCUGACUCUAAUCUUUCUGAAGUGGGCGAUCUCCUUGCUUCUCAUGGCUUUCAACCUGGUGGAAUGUCAAAGAUCCAGGAACAAUUUCAUGGUGUGUCAGAGGCUGGGGGAUUGACGUUUCAACAUGGCCUCGCCGGAUUAUAUUUAUUACCUCUUUCGUUUCUUCGCCUUUCCCUGGAUGACUGUUAAGAGGCCGUUUCAUCUGUGGACUCACGAUACAAGACCCUAAUUCCAAAGCUACAGCCGUAUUUUAUUUCCUUGAUCAGCAGACUUGUGGCUCUACCACCUAGGGAAAUGUGUCGAAAUCCAAUUGAACAUAAUUUGAUGGUUCUAUUCGAAUUUGCUAUCUUCCCCAGACUACUAGAGGGUGAAAAUGAAGAACAUGGAGUCGGAAGAACACUUUUAACAGCGAGUUGAGCAAGCACUGUCCCAUGUCUGUGAGUGGGAUUGAAAACCUGACGAAAUAAAGUACCUUGACAUUACGGAAACUCUCAUUUGAGAUUGCAGACUGGAUUCAAAAAUAUCGGAAUGUAAUUGAUAGAGAUCCAUUGUCAUAGAGAAUAAUACAAGCCCU
rnacentral:sRNA from 1 species